rnacentral:rRNA from 1 species
AUUCUGGGUAGUUUAUGAUUAUGACAUUUACUAUCUAUAUGUCUUGACCAAAUCACGUGCCAGCAGUCGCGGUAAGACGUGNAAGACCANUGUUAUUCAUCUUUAAUAGGUUUAAAGGGUACCUAGACGGUAAAUCCAGCCAAUUUGGUACAGAUUUGCUAGANUUUAAUAUGUAAGAAGGUAGUAUUUUUGGUGGAGAGAUAGAAUAUAUUUAUACCAGAAGGACUGAUAAGGGUGAAAGCAACCUUUAUGUAUUUUUAUAAUACAUUAAUCUAUGUAUAAACUGACGUUGAGGGACGAAGGCCUGGGGAGCGAUAAGGAUUAGAUACCCUAAUAGUCCAGGCAGAAAAUUAUGAAUGUCAUAAACUAGAUAUAUUUAGUUUAUAAAUGAAAGUGCAAGCAUUCCACCUUAAGAGUAAUGCGGCAAGGCAGGAACUGAAAUCAUUAGACCGUUUCUGAAACCAGUAGUGAAGUAUGUUAUUUAAUUCGAUGAUCCACGAAAAACCUUACCACAAUUUGAAUAUUAUUUUUAAGGAAAAUUAUAAAGAAUAAAUAUUACAAGCGUUGCACGGCUGUCUUCAGUUAAUGUCGUGAGAUUUGGUUUGUUCCAUUAAAUUAACGUAAACCCUUGCUUUAUUUAUAGUUUAUAAAAUAAAGUUGUUCGUCUAAAUAUAGGACAAUGCUAAAUGGGAUUAAGACAAGUCAUCAUGGCCUUAAUAUUGUGGGCUAUA